GACGAACGCUGGCGGCGCGCUUAACACAUGCAAGUCGAGCGAGAACCGGGGCUUCGGCCCCGGGGAAAGCGGCGAACGGGUGAGUAACACGUGGGCAACCUGCCCUCGGCACCGGGAUAGCCCGGGGAAACCCGGAUUAAUACCGGAUGGCCUCCGGAGCCCUCGGGCGCCGGAGAAAAGGUGGCUUCGGCUUCCGGCUGAGGAGGGGCCUGCGGCGGAUUGGCUUGUUGGUGGGGUAACGGCGCACCAAGGCGACGAUCCGUAGCUGGUCUGAGAGGACGAUCAGCCACACUGGGACAGAGACACGGCCCAGACUCCUACGGGAGGCAGCAGUGGGGAAUCUUGCGCAAUGGGCGAGAGUCUGACGGAGCAACGCCGCGUGAGCGAAGAAGGCCUUCGGGUCGUAAAGCUCUGUUGUCAGGGAAGAACAAGUGCCAGAGUAACUACUGGCACCUUGACGGUACCUGACCAGAAAGCCACGGCUAACUACGUGCCAGCAGCCGCCGUAAUAC
rnacentral:rRNA from 1 species